rnacentral:rRNA from 1 species
AGUGAACGCUGGCGGCGUGCUUAACACAUGCAAGUCGAACGAGAACGGAUUAUAGCUUGCUAUAAUUGUCAGCUAAGUGGCGCACGGGUGAGUAAUGUAUAGGUAAUAUGCCUCUUACUAAGGGAUAACAAAUGGAAACGUUUGCUAAUACCUUAUACUCCUUAUUAACAGAAGUUAAUAAGGGAAAGAUUUAUUGGUAAGAGAUUAGCCUGUAUUGUAUCAGUUAGUUGGUGGGGUAAUGGCUUACCAAGACUAUGACACAUGACUGGUUUGAGAGGAUGCUCAGUAACACUGGAACUGAGACACGGGCCAGAAUCCUACGGGAGGCAGCAGUGGGGAAUAUUGCACAAUGGACGAAAGUCUGAUGCAGCAACGCGGCGUGGAGGAUGACACAUUUCGGUGCGUAAACUCCUUUUAUAUGAGAAGAUAAUGACGGUAUUAUAUGAAUAAGCACCGGCUAACUCCGUGCCAGCCGCCGCGGUAA